GGCAGGAAGGCGCAGGGUGCGCGUCGGCUUCUGAUGUGGGGAAUAUAUGCAAGAAAAUGGACCGCAGGUCCCCGUUCGACUCGGGGUCCUGCCA